UACGGAAGGCAGCAGUGGGGAAUAUUGCACAAUGGGCGAAAGCCUGAUGCAGCUAUGCCGCGUGUAUGAAGAAGGCCUUAGGGUUGUAAAGUACUUUUCAUCGGGGAGGAAAAACAAAACUAAUAAUUUUAUUUCUUGACGUUACCCGAAAAAGAAGCACCGGCUAACUCCGUGCCAGCAGCCGCGGUAAUACGGAGGGUGCUAGCGUUAAUCAGAAUUACUGGGCGUAAAGAGCACGUAGGUGGUUUUUUAAGUCAGAUGUGAAAUCCCUGGGCUUAACCUAGGAACUGCAUUUUGAAACUGAAAUACUAGAGUAUCGUAGAGGGAGGUAGAAUUCUAGGUGUAGCGGUGAAAUGCGUAGAUAUCUGGAGGAAUACCUGUGGCGAAAGCGGCCUCCUAAACGAAUACUGACACUGAGGGUGCGAAAGCGUGGGGAGCAAACAGGGAUUAGAUACC
rnacentral:rRNA from 1 species